rnacentral:rRNA from 1 species
AAUAUUGGACAAUGGGGGCAACCCUGAUCCAGCGAUGCCGCGUGGGUGAAGAAGGCCUUCGGGUUGUAAAGCCCUUUAGGUUGGGAAGAAGGUUAGUGGAGGAAAUGCCAUUAAUUUGACGGUACCAACAGAAUAAGCACCGGCAAACUCUGUGCCAGCAGCCGCGGUAAUACAGAGGUCCCAAGCGUUGUUCGGAUUCACUGGGCGUAAAGGGUGCGUAGGCGGUCGGGUAAGUCUGACGUGAAAUCUUCAAGCUCAACUUGGAAACUGCGUCGGAUACUAUUCGGCUAGAGGAAUGGAGGGGAGACUGGAAUACUUGGUGUAGCAGUGAAAUGCGUAGAUAUCAAGUGGAACACCAGUGGCGAAGGCGAGUCUCUGGACAUUUCCUGACGCUGAGGCACGAAAGCCAGGGGAGCAAAC